UACGGAGGGAGCUAGCGUUGUCCGGAUUUAUUGGGUUUAAAGGGUGCGUAGGCGGCCUAUUAAGUCAGUGCUGAAAUAUUCCGGCUCAACCGGGAGGGUGGCAUUGAUACUGAUGGGCUAGAGUACAGAUGAGGUAGGCGGAAUUGACGGUGUAGCGGUGAAAUGCUUAGAUAUCGUCAAGAACACCUAUAGCGAAGGCAGCUUACUAGGCUGUAACUGACGCUGAGGCACGAAAGUGUGGGGAUCAAAC
rnacentral:rRNA from 1 species